rnacentral:rRNA from 1 species
GACGAACGCUGGCGGCGUGCUUAACACAUGCAAGUCGAACGGAAAGGCCCUGCUUUUGUGGGGUGCUCGAGUGGCGAACGGGUGAGUAACACGUGAGUAACCUGCCCUUGACUUUGGGAUAACUUCAGGAAACUGGGGCUAAUACCGGAUAGGAGCUCCUGCUGCAUGGUGGGGGUUGGAAAGUUUCGGCGGUUGGGGAUGGACUCGCGGCUUAUCAGCUUGUUGGUGGGGUAGUGGCUUACCAAGGCUUUGACGGGUAGCCGGCCUGAGAGGGUGACCGGCCACAUGGGGACUGAGAUACGGCCCAGACUCCUACGGGAGGCAGCAGUGGGGAAUAUUGCACAAUGGGCGGAAGCCUGAUGCAGCAACGCCGCGUGCGGGAUGACGGCCUUCGGGUGGUAAACCGCUUUCGCCUGUGACGAAGCGGGAGUGACGGUAAUGGGUAAAGAAGCACCGGCUAACUACGUG